GACGAACGCUGGCGGCGUGCCUAAUACAUGCAAGUUGAGCGCUGAAGGCUGGUACUUGUACCAACUGGAUGAGCAGCGAACGGGUGAGUAACGCGUGGGGAAUCUGCCUUUGAGCGGGGGACAACAUUUGGAAACGAAUGCUAAUACCGCAUAAAAACUUUAAACACAAGUUUUAAGUUUGAAAGAUGCAAUUGCAUCACUCAAAGAUGAUCCCGCGUUGUAUUAGCUAGUUGGUGAGGUAAAGGCCCACCAAGGCGAUGAUACAUAGCCGACCUGAGAGGGUGAUCGGCCACAUUGGGACUGGGACACGGCCCAAACUCCUACGGGAGGCAGCAGUAGGGAAUCUUCGGCAAUGGACGAAAGUCUGACCGAGCAACGCCGCGUGAGUGAAGAAGGUUUUCGGAUCGUAAAACUCUGUUGGUAGAGAAGAACGUUGGUGAGAGUGGAAAGCUCAUCAAGUGACGGUAACUACCCAGAAAGGGACGGCUAACUACGUG
rnacentral:rRNA from 1 species